rnacentral:rRNA from 1 species
UUGACCUCGGAUCAGGUAGGGAUACCCGCUGAACUUCCGCUUAUUGAUAUGCUGAGGA